rnacentral:rRNA from 1 species
UACGGAGGAUUCGAGCGUUAUCCGGAUUUACUGGGCGUAAAGGGCGCGUAGGCGGACUGGUAAGUCAGCUGUGAAAGUUUACGGCUCAACCGGGAAAUUGCAGUUGAUACUGUUGGUCUUGAGUAUAGAAGAGGUGGGCGGAAUUUCUGGUGUAGCGGUGAAAUGCGUAGAUAUCAGGAAGAACUCCAAUUGCGAAGGCGGCUCACUGGGGGAUAACUGACGCUGAUGCGCGAAAGUGUGGGGAGCAAACAGG